UGCGCCGGGGCCGGCUGCAGCGGGAGCCCGGGUCCGCCGCUCUGGGCGGCAGCGCGGGGAUAAAUGAGCCUUUCAGAGCGCGCAGCCCGAGCUCCCUCCCCGGGGAGGCCGGGAAUUUCCAUCCUGUAACCGAGCGAGACGGCCGGGCAGAGCCACCCCCCCGCAGCCAUUGGCACGGGGCCGGGGGCUCCCUCCCCCUCGGCCCGGCCCCGCCGAGCUUUCCCCGGGCGAUGGAGCCCCCGGCCGCGCCGCGCCGAGCGGCAGCAGCGCUGCGGGCCCCUCCCGGCUCUCCCGCAGCCCCUCCCGGCUCUCCCGCAGCCCCAGGCAGUUCGCUUCCACGUUUUCAGGUGUUCGCUCGGCAGUCGGUAACUCCUUUCCGAUGAAGGAGCUGCUGUCUCGGCAAGAAACCGCCUAACGCCACAACGGGAUCCUGAUGCACCGUGAGGGGAAACUGUGAUAAAACAUCAGCUGGACAUCAAUCACAGAAUUAAUUUUAACAGAAGUCAAGGAAAGAAUGCUACAAGAAGUUGAGUCAUUCAAAUAGGCUGCACAGAACCACAGAAGACUGAACCCCUACAUGUGGCUCUGCACUUUAAGCCACUCCUGCCUUUCUCCCCUUUCCAUGUCUGUACUGGUGGAACUAUAGCAGUGAAGUGAGAUUUACAGCACAGGUCAGUCACACUGCUGUCAUCAACCCUGUCACUCGCUGUCCUGAGAACUGGGACUGAUGUCAGCCACAUUGCUGAGGUGAGGGCUCCUACCUUGUGAAGAAGGGCAGCAUUACACCUUGCCAACUUCAAAAAACAGCUGGUAAAUAAUAAUGGUUCCCUAAACCAGUUGGGAAAAUUUAUGGAAUGAUGUAAAUCCUUAAUUGUAGUACUGCUUUGGUGACAGCCUCAGUCAGCAUCCACAAACACACACAGGCAGAAGCUUCAUUGAGCAAUUGUGCAGUGCUGUCAGCAACCCCUGCUGCCUCUGGCCCGGGCUGAUGGCAAUACUGUGAAGGUGGUGAUGUUUGAUUUCUGUGUCACCUGCAUGUUCACACAGGCAUCCUUACCAAGGGCUGGGGAUCCUCAGCAUCAACACAGGCUGUUGCUAAGGCGUGUCCCUUCACAGAGUGCCAAACUUUUGUAUUACAGAAUUAAUUUCCUCAGGCAAGGUGCAGCAGAUGUAGCACACAGUGCAGCAGCACUAAGGCAACCAGGAUUUUAGAGAACAAAAUUUGCAUGGACAUUCAUGAUUAUUUCCCCACCUGGCUUUGGUCACCAUUAAUUUGAGUGUGGAUUAGAAGCUUUGAAGUUCCAAAGGGCUUUGCCAGAGGAAGAAAACUUCGGAGCACUGUAAGAGAAGGUCUUAGCAAACGAUGGUGGGACAUCUGCUUUGAGCUCUGGUGAGUGCCUUGUGCAGUUCCUAGCACUCAUUUGACUUGCAGUGUGCAUUUCCAUCUGGAAAACAGAAAUGUCAACAUCCUCCUUAACCUGCUUCAGUUCAAGCAAGCCUUGCCAUCUGUUAGGCUUAUGUUCUGUGGGCUUCUGAUAUAUUUAAAUGGUUCUGAGGGCAUCAACCACUGCUGAAUGCUGGUAAGAUACUCAAACUGAAUCAGAACUACUGAUCUACUUUGCCUUAACUAUUUUGCAGCUAAAAGGAGCUGUGGUAAUAAAAUUGCCUGAGCAUCCACUGACCACGAUCCAUAUUACAUCAAUUAGUGAUUCCUUCCUUUUAUCCAUACUGCCAUAUGAUAUAGGCUUUAUCUUUAUCUCACAAACAUAUCAGCAAACAUUACUAGUUGCUACAUCCACCACGUAAAUGUCACUGAAAUCUCCCAGAUGGCCAGUUUGCUCCUGCACAGCCUGGGCAGGCUCACACAAGGUCACCGUGGCACAGUCAGUGCAUCUUGCACUGCAGAUGCUCAUAUGAUGAGGCUGAUGCCAUGAGUGCAGUCUCUCUGCUGCAGCUUGAGCUACUUCCCCCCCCUCACAUAGCCUCUCAGCAUCCCAAAAAUCCAGACACACAAGUCUGGAGAGGAGGAUGUUCCCAUACACACAUCUUUCCAUUCACCUCAGCCAUAACAUGCUUAAAUUCAAGAGACUGCCCGUGGGGUCAUUGGGUCUCUCUGCCUUUCCUGUGCAAACAAUUCCAGUUUAUGAAUACUGUUUGUUAGCACACUGUUUUGAAUUCAACCAGUAAAUAAUUGUUAUUCAAUUCAAUGGUUAUUCAAUCCUUAGUCUUUACAGCAUGAAAUAACUGCAGGGAACCGGAAACACCAGACUUAGGUGUCUAAAUAUUACAGAAAGCUCAAGGCUGAGGAUCCUGAGACAAAAGAGGCCCAGUAAGGCUGCUGGUCUGAUCAAGGAGACAAAGAGCUGUCUGUACUGCUGUAGAAGAAAACCAAACUAAGAGCUCUCGGGUAAUUUAUUACAGAUUUAAGAAAUGGAUUCCAACUUCUUCCACAAAAAAACCCUUUGGAAUUGCAUAAAAAUGAAUGGGAUUUUGGCCUUAGUCCCUUCUAAGACCUCUUAAUUUAAAUAUAUGAUUCAUAUAGCAUGUGUAAUAUUAAAAAAAAUCCAAAAAUCUCUCCCUCUCUUUUAUUGCUUUACUAGCACACAUAUACCUAUUUUUAAAAAGUCUUCCAGUAGCUUCUACAUAAAAUGAUCAAAGCAUUACAGCCACAGCAGUGCUUUGCAGGUACAUAUAUUAACAUUUGAAUCUUAAAAUCUUAUUUGGGGCAUGUGCUCACCCUUCUGCAGAAGAGGAUUCCUGUGUUCAUAUACAGGAGGACAGCAUUUUAUGAGUGUGAGGAAAAAAAAUAUCCUGGAGUUAAGUGUUAAUUCUUCACUUCUGAAUAAGCUCACGUCAGUUCUUAAUGUUACUAUAGGAAAUGUAUUUUUACACAAUAGAAAACAUGAGAGAAUCAAUACUUUUUAUUCUUCAUAUUAAUUAUGUUUUCUAUGGAGAUAAAUCUUUAACAUUGUCUCUGACAAUUCAAGAGCAAGACAUAGGUCAGAUACCAGUGAAAACUUAUGGAAACAGUUUCUUCCACUGCCUGCUGCAGUUCCAGGCAGAUCUGUUUUUUUCUGUCCAAGCCAUCAGCUGAUUUAUAGUUGCAUUUCCCCAUAGCUGUGCUUUUACAAUAAUAAUGAUGGCACUGAAUAUUUUAAACUAAACACUAUUCACAAACAGUCAGAGAGAGAUAAACUUUAAUAAAACUAUUUGGGAGAACUGUCUGCUUCACUGAUAAAGAAUAACUCUGGACACCCAGAUAAUUCCAUAGUGUAAACUUUAUGAUGAAAAGCCCAUACAGUUUCUAUUGACUGCUGGUUGCAAAUUUCUGGUCUGUACCUCUGCAAGUCUGCACCCAAGAGCAGCUGGCGCAAUCCCAGCUGCAGUCAUGGAAACAUUUGGGUCUGCAGGGGGAUCUGGAGCACGUCUGAAGCAGGUCCACUUAGAUUGGGUUGUUCAAGGACUUGCAGAAUGGGAAAAUUAUUUCAGUCCAGUUUUAAAUUAAAUUCACUGGGUGUCCAGUGAAUCAUCAUGUGCAAGGGGAGAGCUGAGUCUCAGGAGGAACAUUUGCUCAUUAGAGUGGCUGCGAAUUAGUCAGUGGUAGAAAAAUCACUUGGCUACCUCACGAAACCUCAGUGAAUAGAAAGGCUUAUACAGAACUGAAAAGUUAACUUUCCUUAAAUCCUGUGCUAAUAAAUGGUUAUUAGGAUGUGAAAUACAGUGCUCCAUUCAGAUAGGAAGGCUUCUUCCAAUGAAGGGCACAAUCUGUGUUUUUCUACACCAUUCAUCAAAUGCAUUGCCAGAAGUUUGUCCUUCCAGUUUUGGAAAGCAGUGCCUCAAAUUAGUGAUAAUCCCGAAAUUAAAGGAAUAGACUUGAACUUUGAAAUGUUCUCUUUUAUUUGUGUCCAGUGAGGCCUUUGAAAAGGAGUUCCUCAGGAUAAGCAAGCUCUGAGCAGGGCUGAGGCAGUGCUCUGUAGCCCUUCAAGGUGGCUUACAGAAACAGAUGCCUAUAGCCACCAUAACAGGCACACACAAAAUGCACAGAAGCGUACGGAUGCAAGAAGGUUUCAUCAAAGAAACAAACUAAUCGGCCCAGUUGCACAAAACUCAGGAGAGAGACAAGCAGAGUCACAACAAUGACAGAUGGGAACGUGUGUGAUUGCUGCAGCUCUGCUUCUUGGAUGUAGUGGUGGAGCUUGAAGCCCGUGGCAUUCCUGUGACCUGGCUCCUCACACCCACACUGACCUCAGUGAAAAAGUCCCAUGCCUUGAGGCAAGCAGGGCUGUGGAGCUUCUGGGCAGCACCCCCAGCAUCUGCUCACAGAUGACUCACAGUCACUGAAAUGGCAGUGGAUGGACUGGGGCUGCUGGGUCAGGCACAGUGAGGUUUACAAGUGGUUCAGUGGGGUCAUCCUUUAGCCCUGAGGAUACUUCCACAGGUAAACUCUUGCAUUAAAAUUGUUUUAUGUGCUUAUAUAGGAAUCCUGUUUGACUUGCAUCAACAACUGACUAGUGCAAUGGCACUGGGAAGGAUCAAGCACGCGAAUCCCUGGCUCAUGUGGAGAUUGUGUUCGGCCAGAAUAGCAAAAGACCCACCAGGUUCCUGUGAAGAAAAAUGUGGUUUUGAGCCCUCUUUAAGUUAUAUUUUUACAGCAGGUGCUCAUCUAACUAUGCUUUUGUGAGCAUAACUUAGCGUGGUUUCCUUGUAACUUUGCUGUAAUUACAGGAUCUCUUAAUUGAUUAAAGAUCUUAUUUAUGAGUUCAUAAUUUCCCGUUGUCAAGUAGAGGAACUUUCAGGAUGUGUGCCCUAAAAAUGCUGUUGAGGUUCUAUUCAUUUAAAAGGAAAAGUCCUCCCUCCUUUUUUUUUUGUGUUUGUGUGCUUUCUUGGGUUUUCCUGCUGGUUUGGUGACUGUCCAUUUCUCUCCAUACGGAAUCUCCUCACAACUAUCAGCAUCUUUCGGUGUCUUUCUCAGGAUAAUCUUGCCUACUAAAAGUUUAAGAAAAAUUUUAAGAAAAAUAAAUUAAUUUCCAUGGUGAGCCCUGACUUCAGCCCGCCCAACACAUUUGCAUUUCAUCCACUCACUGGCACAUCACACCUGUCAGUGCCAUGUCUCCACAUUACACAGAAUGACACGUGUCUGGAUUAUUUAUCCCUGUAGUGCAUCCACUUGUUCUUUACUUGGAAGUCUGGAUCACAGCCAUGCCUGUAGGAAUCUGGAAGGAGAGCAAGUCCCAUAUAGGACUGUGUCCAAAGGGCAACAUUGGUGACUCAAACCCAGUGCCAAGGAACAUGUUCAGCUGCUUCAGCUUCCUCAAGGCCUCCAUCUUCAAUCAUUCAAGAAUUACAUGCACUCUUGGAUAGUAGGUAUGAUACUACCAGAAUUGGGUCUGGAGAGAAUGGUUCUUAGAUAGCUUAAGCCUUCAACUAAUAACUAAUUUACUAGUAAUUUCUUGUGAUCCAGUUUCAUGUGGUAAGGUAGAACAUCACGAAGAUAAGCUGGGACAUUCAUUGUCUUCUUAGUCCUUCAUACAUGACCAGCGUUUAACAUCCUUUUUCCUGUUAAGACCGCUUUGGUGGCCAUUUCUAAUCAUCCCACCCUCACCCCUGUGGCAAACCUACUCAACGGCAAUAAAUGUUUUCUUGCUAUUUCUCUUCACCUUCUAUGGAAAAAAAAUAGUCCUAAAAUACCUUUCCCCUUAAAAUACCUGAUGUUCUCUCAUGACUAUGCUUCUGUACCUGAGUGUGCUCUCUGGGAGGGAGGUCAGUACCCCUCCACAUCACCUCUGCCCAGUACCAAGUCUCUGUUUAGCACUGCCCUUCCACAAAAAAUGCUUUCUUCCGAACAGCAGGAACUAUUCCCCUCUCCAGCUCCUGUCUCUGCUAAGAAACAAGCUGUGACCUAUUUAAUGAAUGUAGAUCAUUUGUUUAAAGAUCUCAUUGGCCAUUACUUUAUUUCGACUAGUAAAACCUGAAAUAAAGCAAACCUUUAUUUUA